GGGUGCGAUAAUUACGACACUAAUGCAACAGAUCCCAAUAGAACUCCGCAGUUAAGCGUGUUUGGACGUGAGUAGUUCUAGGAAGGGUGACCUCUUAGGAAGUCCUCGUGUUGCACCCC
rfam:Beta vulgaris subsp. vulgaris 0734.scaffold01326.con0003.1, whole genome shotgun sequence.